rnacentral:piRNA from 2 species
GUGGACAGAAGGGAUUUCUGAAAA